GAGAGUAAAACAGUACGUGAAAUUGUUGAAAGGGAAACGAUUGAAGUCAGUCAUGCCGGCGUUGGAUUCAGCUUGCUUCGCGGAGCGGGCGCAUUUCCUCGCAUGGCAGGUCAGCGUCAGUUUUGCGCGGCGUGAAAAGGCUCGGGUAAGGUAGCUCUCUUCGGGGAGUGUUAUAGACCUGGGCAGAUGCGCUGUGCGGGACUGAGGAUUGCAGCGGACAUCCCUUCGGGGGCGCGGCGACCGAACCCUGCUCGGCCACCCGAGUUCGAUAGCGUGCUAACGGACGCGGGAGCGGCAGUGCACCGGAACAGGCAAGCCAGCGGUUCGCUUAGGAUGCUGACGUAAUGGCUUUAAACGA
rnacentral:rRNA from 1 species